AUUGAACGCUGGCGGCAGGCCUAACACAUGCAAGUCGGGCGAGUGGCGGACGGGUGAGUAAUGUAUGGGAAACUGCCUGAUGGAGGGGGAUAACUACUGGAAACGGUAGCUAAUACCGCAUACCAUCAGAUGAACCCAUAUGGGAUUAGCUUGUAGGUAAGGUAACGGCUUACCUAGGCGACGAUCCCUAGCUGGUCUGAGAGGAUGACCAGCCACACUGGGACUGAGACACGGACCAGACUACUACGGGAGGCAGCAGAGGGGAAUAUUGCACAAUGGGCGCAAGCCUGAUGCAGCCAUGCCGCGUGUAUGAAGAAGGCCUUCGGGUUGUAAAGUACUUUCAGCCGGGAGGCGUUACCGACAGAAGAAGCACCGGCUAACUCCGUGCCAGCAGCCGCGGUAAUGC
rnacentral:rRNA from 1 species